GCUGUUCUGCCCAUUUUUCCCUCUUAACUGCUACAAAUAUCCCUCUGGUUCUUCCUCACAGCACUGCUUCCUUCCUGAACACCAGCCAAGGAGGCCACCAACCCUCUUUCCCGACCGGGUUUGGCCUCGGCAGACCCCCCACCCCCACCCCAUUUGUGGGAAGCAGAGAUUGCACAAAGCUACCAGAGAGCACUCUGAUUGUUCUGGCUUCGCCUAUGAGACCAAAUUCUGGCCCUCAGCAGGACUCUGAAUUUGCAUCUUUGCUGUGCCCCCUUUCAACCUGCACACAGAGGGCCUGCCUGGGUGCUGUAGUGUAUAUGGAAGGGUCAUACAUCUCCCACGGAGCCCUUCCCACCUGUCAGUCUUCUUCACUUUCUGCUUCAUCAACUCCGCCCUCAUCCCCUCGGGCUGCACUUCUGCUAGGAUAGCCAGACCUCAAACUCCAAUCCUGGCGACAGGGAAGGUGUGGCAGCGCCUCCAGGUGAGGCGGAGCACUGAGGUCUUUGUACCUGGCUCACCUGUGUGGCUGUCUUGUUCCAGUCACUACUGUGAAUGGUUCAUCUCCUUUCAGGUCCUGAUUGCCUGGACUUCUCUUCUCCAGAGUUAAAGACACAAAGCCCGAAAGGCCCCUCAGGACCUGCCACUUUCGCCUUGAGACUCCCUGGAACAUUUGUGUAGCACCUUCCCUCUUAAAGCACCUCAUUUUCUGGGGAGGUAGGUAUAUUCCAAAAAACAAGAAACACAAACUGCAAAGACCAGGUCACUGUUCUGGGGGACAAGCACCCCCAGUAAAAGUACUUAAGCUACUCCAGCAAGGAAGUGAAGAAUCCUCUCUAGAAGCUGAUGUCUAAGCUGAGCUGUGGACAGGGUGAGGGAGCAAGAAGCAGAGCUAUGGGAGAGCCUCAGGGUGAGGUCCCGGCACCACUGUCCAAGUGAGUAGGAGGUGAGCAUAGUAGGUGAACAGGCCGCUGAGGAAAUGUCCCUCCAGCCACAAUGUAAGUGGAGGCUGAUAAAGUGAGUGAAUUGUGACACUGUUCUCAGCUCAUACUGAGAUGCUUCACUGGGGACAGAAGGACAGAUAGGACAGGAGGACUGAGGGAGGGUAGUAUGAAUGAUAUCUAGGUCUCUAGUUUGGAUGAUCAAAGUCUCAAGAGGGAGGAGAGAAUGUGGGGCCAGGAUGAAUGAUGGCAGCCUUGGCCAGAGGUGUAAGGGGUGGAAGGGGUGUUGAUCAAUGAGAGAAACAAACAUUGAACUUACCUGCUUGGCCUAGAAACUAAAAUGCAACUCAUUCAUCGAGCAUUUUCCCCUCAAGAGGAGCAGUGUUGGUCCCUGGAGGCUGGGUAAACAUAGAAUCUUGUCUUUAUUGACUGGGUAAUCAGCACGGUCAAUGCACCUGUCUGGGUGUGGUCAGGCCUGCUCUGGAAACUAGUAUGACUCGUACAGCAUGGGGCAGGGACCCAGGAUAGAUGUAUUUAGGUUGCUGUUGGCUUUGCCUGAAGCUGUAAUUUGGAAGACAAGCUGGAGAACUAAUAAAGCUUUGACCCAGACCCACACAGCCCCAGGAAGCUUCUCCAAGUGUCCAGAGUAACUGGGUAAACUCUUCAUUCUGAAAGCUGGUGAAACAGUCUAUGCCUGGGUACCCCUGGCUAGAGUUCUGCCAGGGCACCAUGGAGUAGGACAUAGAGCUUAGUCUGUUGCUCAGGAAGCUGGACCAUGGUCAGAUCAGGCUGCAUGUGAAUGAGACUUCCCUGCUCUUCUGCCCAGCCUGCCACGCUGCCCUCUGCCCUGUAACCUUUGGCCCCUCUGGUCUUUCC
ensembl:lncRNA